GCGCUGGUGGUGUAGUUGGUUAACAUACGGCCCUGUCAAGGCCGAGACCGCGGGUUCAAGUCCCGUCCAGCGCG
rnacentral:tRNA from 1 species